GUUUGGCCUUAAGGGGAUGUAAUGUCUCCAAAGAAAAAUUGCGGUUUGCUCAAACCCAGGUUCAAUAUUUAGGACAUCUGAUCUCAAGGACAAUGGAAUGCAUUCUUUAACAGCUGCUAAAAGGACAAAGUUUGCUUGGGCUAUUGGUCUGCUCCUGUAAGAACAAAGACUGCCUUGAAUCCUCUUGGAAGGGACUAUACCAUGGCCUCCUCACUACCUAGAAGGCAGCCAAACUUCAGGGACUCGAACCCUGAGUACACAUCUCACAGCUAGAGAAGACCGCACCUGACAUGUGGUCCUAUACAAACACUGGAAACCUCCAAAUUGAAAUGACUAGGAAGAGAAGCAGCUGACAACUGAGGCAUACAGCUUUCCAAAGAUGACCUGACCAGGCCUGUAUACCCUUUUUCUCACUGUUGCUUUUUUUUUUACUCUCUCUCUCUUUCACAGAAAGACAAUGCCCUUGUUUGUUAUUUCCCAAAUCCUCUUCUUUUGAUUAUGGCCUUUCAGAAACUACCUCAUCAUGACCCCAUAACAAAUUAGCCUUUUCACCUGCUUUUUGUUUUUUUUUUUAAGAGUUAGAAGGUUCAGAAUUCACUGAAGUCUUUCUUUCAUCUGGACUAUUAACUGUUUCGGGAUUUUUUACCUAGAUUCAUGGUCUUUGAAUUUGCAACCUUACAGGCUGUCUUACUGGAUAACACAUUUGGUUCUAAACAGCUCUUUUGGGGUAACAAUACUAUUUUAAUAUGUCUUUGAAGUUCUGCUGUUUUUGCAAAGAGCUCGUCAGCUAUUGCGCCAUACUUAUUCCUGCCCUGUCUUCCCAACAUGCUCAGUUAAUUCUUUCAGUUUGUGCUGUUGCUGUAUUCACUGUUCUAUUUUCUCUUCAAUACAAAACAGAAGCCUCCCAUUGAUCCAUUUUACUAAACCUUCAUGGCCACCUUGAGUGGGAACUUCCAGAAGGCAUACAUGACUCCACGUCUGCCUCUGUAGGAAGGGCCUUUUUUCCCUCAGGUCCAAGUAAGUGCCAAAGAAAACAUGAUUAGAGCAGCAGAAACUCAAUUGCAUGGAAGAAUCGAGGAGGAAGAGCACUGACUGCAACAAGUCUCACCUGACCCUCUGUGAUUUGUUCAGUUGGCUACCCUCAGGCCUAAGGUAAUGCUGGCUCAACAUUUCAAGAUGAUCAGAAUGGUCUCCAACGCUUAUGACCUUAAGAAGAUACAGACUUUAUAUGGUGGGACACAACACCCAGGAAAAGUCCUUCCUGGCACCAAGGGACAAAGGCCACUGAAGAUGGAAAACCUGACUUUUGAUCAGCGAUGCUUUCAGAGAAAAGCAGAAAAUGUCAAACUGAAUAGAGGAAACCUCAUUUAAAAUAGUUGGGAGUCCAGAAGGGGGAACCCUCACACACUACCACAGGAAGCAUCAACUACUCCCGUUAAUUACAUACUCCAACAGGAAAGCAUCAUUCACAGACCUACUAGGAGGGAAGAUUUCCUGUUCACCGAGCAACUCAGCCUAGGAGGAACCAUCACCACCUAAACUCUCACUUUCUACCAGGGAACUUUCUUCAAAACAACCCCUCCCAACUUCCUCCUUUUUCUCUGUAACAGAAUGGGCCUCUCCUUUGUUUGCUGAACCUAUCUAUGACUUUUCCUACAGUUCGCUUGUCUCGAAUUGCAAUUCCUCUGCUAUUCCCAAAUAAGCCCAUUUUGCUGGUAAAAUAACUGGCUGUUUUGUUUUUAUCUUAAAAGCUUCAUGCCUUCCACCUUAUUUUGCAUGUCUCCAAAAGGAGACUGCCCACUUCAUGUCAGUGUGAACUUAAACUGUAUCACCUAAAUUAAUUUCUUUAGUCGUUUUUUUUAACACUGCUGAGAAGAGGGCCUGGAAAAUAUUCAGCAUUUAAAUUAGUGCACUGAAAUCAUGCCUCCCUAUUCUUUUGAAAACGUUUAUGUCAGCUGUUUCUCCACUCUCCCAGGAAAGUUCGACUCAUCUUUUCCCAUCACCCUCCCCUCACCU